rnacentral:rRNA from 1 species
UGGGGAAUUUUGGACAAUGGGGGAAACCCUGAUCCAGCCAUCCCACGUGUGCGAUGAAGGCCUUCGGGUUGUAAAGCACUUUUGGCAGGAAAGAAACGUCAUGGGUUAAUACCCCGUGAAACUGACGGUACCUGCAGAAUAAGCGCCGGCUAACUACGUGCCAGCAGUCGCGGUAAUACGUAGGGUGCAAGCGUUACUCGGAAUUACUGGGCGUAAAGCGUGCGCAGGCGGUUCGGAAAGAAAGAUGUGAAAUCCCAGAGCUCAACUUUGGAACUGCAUUUUUAACUACCGGGCUAGAGUGUGUCAGAGGGAGGUGGAAGUCCGCGUGUAGCAGUGAAAUGCGUAGAUAUGCGGAGGAACACCGAUGGCGAAAGCAGCCUCCUGGGAUAACACUGACGCUCAUGCACGAAAGCGUGGGGAGCAAACAGG